CGCUGGAUUUAAGCAUAUAAUUAAGCGGAGGAAAAGAAACUAACAAGGAUUGGUCUAGUAACGGCGAGUGAAGCACCAACUGUUCAGCAUGUGAAUCAUCACUUGUGGUGAAUUGUAGUAUGUCGGCUUGUUUGUUAUGCAUGGUGACUAAGUCCUCUGGAAUGAGGCAGCAGAGAGGGUGACACUCCCGUUUGUCAACCAGCGCAAAAACUUGCCUGUGAGUCGAGUUGUUUGGGAUUGCAGCUCUAAUUGGUGGUAAAUUCCAUCUAAGACUAAAUAUUAACAGAAGACCGAUAGCGUACAAGUACCGUGAGGGAAAGAUGCAAAGCCGCGCGAGAGCGCUGUCAAAGAGUACCUGAAAUUGCUGAAAAGGAAGCGAAAGAAACCAGUGUAAAGCCUUCCAGCAUUUCCUUUCCUGCUUGCGGGUUGGGCGCUGCUGUUGGUGUUGUUCUGUAUGGUGGUUCGCAGCAGAAGAACUUGGUGCUGUGGGCCACUUUAUUGAACCAAAUGGUUUUUUUCUCCCCGUCUUGAAACACGGACCAAGGA
rnacentral:rRNA from 1 species